GGUAAACAAAAACUUUUAAUGACUAACGUUUUCAGCGCUCUAGGUGCCAUCAUCAGGUAACAGAACAAAAAGUUCUAAAAAUAGAACACGAACAGAUUUGAAACGAACAUGCAUAAACAUUGCUAUGGUUACAAAGGAUUAUGAUGUAAAACAAAAUAAAUACACAAAUAAAUAAAGUUCAGAUUAAAAAACAUUAAAGCAUUAAAAUUAACAUGCUCGUUCUUCUUUUACAUAUUUGCAUGGUCUUUCUUGGGAGGAACUUCCAUGGAGGGGGCGGCUCUUGCCCGGGGUGGUCGUUUAUGAGUGGCUCUUCGUGCUGUCUGGUGAGGGUUUCUGGGGCUUCCGCCAUGGCGCUAUGCUUUUCUUUUUUAACACUUUUAACUACUUUUGCCUCAUGCCAAUUUGUUCGUGUAUCGCUUUCAUAGGCGCUUCUUGCUGGUGCGGUGUUCAGGUUCCCUCUAGCUGCAUCUCUUUUGUGUUCCUGUAUUCUUGGCUCUAGUGGUCUCACUGUGACUCCUAUAUGAGCUUCUUCCUCGUUUUUUGCGUGAUUCAUUGUUGGAAUCCUAUAUACUCCGGACAUUUUUUCAUCCUUCCUUUUAUCUUUUUCAUUUCUAAGUAGAUUAUAUACGGUGGGAUGUCUUUUAUAAGUUACCUUCUUACUUCCUUUCUUAAUAAGCUUCUUAACUGUCUUAUAGUUGGACAUGGCGUAUGGGACUGGCUCAUACUCCGCUUGCUCUAGCCUUUCAGGAACUUGCGGGGGGGUUACUUGCUGUACUUUAGAGUAUAGUGCAUCUAGGAAGCUUCUACUAUAACCAUACAAUUUUCCGACAUUAUAAAUAUAAUCGAGCUCUAACUCUAAGUCUUCCUGGC
rnacentral:lncRNA from 1 species